CCUACGGGAGGCAGCAGUAGGGAAUUUUCCACAAUGGACGAAAGUCUGAUGGAGCAACGCCGCGUGCCGGAUGAAGGCCUUAGGGUCGUAAACGGCUUUUCUGUACGAGAAUUAUGAUAGUAGUACAGGAAUAAGGGACUGCUAACUACGUGCCAGCA
rnacentral:rRNA from 1 species